rnacentral:rRNA from 1 species
UACGAAGGGGGCUAGCGUUGCUCGGAAUUACUGGGCGUAAAGGGAGCGUAGGCGGACAUUUAAGUCAGGGGUGAAAUCCCGAGGCUCAACCUCGGAACUGCCUUUGAUACUGGAUGUCUUGAGUGUGAGAGAGGUGAGUGGAACUCCGAGUGUAGAGGUGAAAUUCGUAGAUAUUCGGAAGAACACCAGUGGCGAAGGCGACUCACUGGCUCAUUACUGACGCUGAGGCUCGAAAGCGUGGGGAGGAAACAGG